ACCAUAAAGUGUUGUACAUGGAAAUAUUGGUAGUAAGAAGAAAUUCUUGAUAGGAUCCACAGUUUGUCUGGUUAUGCUGGUUUGUGAUGACAACUACUGUACAGUAUAUAAUAAAUGUUCAUUUUUUUGUUCAACAAUCAAUAUGAAUUUUUCUUCAUGGAAAAAUAAGACAUCCUCUGAAAAUAAGACCUAGCGCAUCUUUGGGAGCAAAAAUUAAUAUAAGAUGCUGUCUUAUUUUCAGGGAAACACGGUAAGUCAAUGUAUACAUGGUUGUAUAUAUGUUGGUUCGUACCACAAAGGCUCCCAAAUGUAGCACACAUAGCCUUUCUUAUCCAACUUAAAAUACAGUAGAGUCUCACUUAUCCAAGCCUCGCUUAUCCAAGUUUCUGAAUUAUCCAAGCCAUUUUUGUAGUCAAUGUUUUCAAUAUAUCGUGAUAUUUUGGUGCUAAAUUCAUAAAUACAGUAAUUACAACAUAACAUUACUGCGUAUUGAACUGCUUUUUCUGUCAAAUUUGUUUUAAACAUGAUGUUUUGGUACUUAAUUUGUAAAAUCAUAACCUAAUUUAAUGUUUAAUAGGCUUUUCCUUAAUCCCUCCUUAUUAUCCAAAAUAUUCGCUUAUCCAAGCUUCUGCCGGCCCGUUUAGCUUGGAUAAGUGAGACUCUACUGUAAUUGAGGGGCUUGAACUUUAAAAGAAACAGUGACACAUCUUUCAGGCCCAAAGCAGAGGGAAAGGAAAAGAUAGAAGAGAAAUGGCUGUGGCUAGGUGAAGUAGCCCUUCUGUCAUGUAACUGGGAAAGAAAUGGGAUGCAGUGGAUUGGUUGUUGCCUUUGGAAAAUGACAUUUUUUGGGGAAAAAAUCUUUUGGAGAUCAUAGCUUUUUAAGCAAAGCAUGGCCGUUCAGAGAAGAGCCAAAAACCCUUUAGAGUAGAAUCUUCACAUGUGGUAUACUACCAGAUAUAAUUAUGCAAGGCAAUGGUUUCAGUUGUUAGACUGAAUAACUUGUUAUCUCUGAUUUGUUAGGAAAACAGGGAGAUUAGACUGGCACCCACCCUGUCCACUUUCCGUAAAGAUCUAAAAACGUGGAUGUUCAAUUGUGCCUUCGAUUAAGCAGUUUCAACAGAUACUCAGCCCCAACUACAGCUCACUAUCAGCUACUGUACUUUAUCACUGUCCCUUGUCCUAGAGAUUUAGCAUUUUAACUGACAUUGCUCUUCCAGCCCUAAUUUUAUUAUUGUCCUUGAACCUUUUAACUAGCUCUGCUCAGAAGUUCUAUACACAAGCUCCUACCCUUUGAAUUCCAGUAUUUAUUACUGUUCAGGCUUUUGAUUGUUGAUGAUGAUGUUUUAUGUUGUCUAUGUGGUUAUAAGGUUGUUAAUUUUACUGAUUAAAAUGAUUAAUUGUUAAUUUUAUCCUAUCCUAUAGGUCGUUAAUUUUACGGACAACCUAUAGGAUGAUAAUUUUACCGAUUAUAGAUUAAAAUGUCUGCAUGUGAGCUGCUCCAAGUCCCUUUGGGGAGAUGGAGACUACACACUGAAAACCUGUUUGCCUCUGUACUGCUGUGAUUAUUUGGGACCACGCCACCACUGACCUGCUCAAAGGAUUUACUAAAGAGCGUGGUGCUUGUUCUAGCCAAACUAUGACUGCCCGGCUUAGACUUCCGCUGAUUCUUGCCCAGCAGAGCCUUGUUACUGUUGGUGCUGCUAUUUGAAAAAGCAGAGUGACUUGUAGUAGAAGUAGCCCUAGAGUAAAAACCUUCAUCAACUUCCGUGACGUCUAUUACUUCUUCUUCUGGAAUUCCUAGUUCACUGCCUGCAUUGAGAAAAAAGCCAGUUAAUAAAUGGAUGUAGAUGACUAUUUUGUAACUGAUUGAGUACUAUACUAUUAUAUUUUGGCAAUUCCCAGUGCAAAGCAAAAGACUCAGGACCAGUCAGGAAACUUACCCAUUAUAUCAAUCUGACAAAAAGAGUACAGUAAUUUGUUUUACAUGAUUAAAGUGUAUUUAAUAAAUGAAAAAUCAUG